AUCCUUCCAAAAAAGGGAAGUGCAGCCACCGAUGGAGCACAUCAUCGUCUCUCUCUCUCUCUUUGGAGAAACCGAUCUGCUCCAUCUUCUCUCUCUCUCUCUCUCUCUCUCUCUCUCUCUCUCUCUCUCUCUCUCACACACACACACACACACACAACCAACAAUACCUCUCCGUCUUCGUCUUCCGAAUCCCACCAACGCCAAGCCGCCGAUGACUUCCACCAGUCCACACGCUCUUUUCCCUCCAUCACUCUAUCAAUCGUCUCUCUCCGCCAUACCCACCGCCACUCCCCUCUCUAUUUUGAUUUCGGGUUCUCUCUCUCAUUCGUCCAGGGCAUGAAGUACUUGGAUGAAAAUGAGUGAGUCUGAAAGUGCUUUUGGAGGUUUUAAGAUACCAUACCCACAUCCAAAAUAUGCUCUUUCAAACUCAACUGAGACGACAUGAAAAGACUUUAAGCAAUCAAUCUCGAACCUAUCUUUGGCCUUUGUUUUGUUUGAUUGGAAAUGGUCCUCUUUGAUUCUGUUAAGAGACUCAAUCUUUGUUGGUCAUUACGAUACUUUGUUUGGCAUUUGGUUUUUGGUUAUUUUUGUUUGUUUGGCAUUGAAAUAUGACUAACCUGUAAUGUGGCUAUUUUUCUUCGUAACUUUGGUAUUGUAACCAUCUCUGUAUUUAUUUUCUAUAUCACCGAGUAUAUGUGAAGUCACCAUCUCAUGCUUAUCUAAAA